UCAAGUUUGAUGGCGACCGGCGCACGGGUGAGUAACACGUAUCCAACCUGCCGAUGACUCGGGGAUAGCCUUUCGAAAGAAGGAUUAAUACCCGAUGGCAUAGUUCUUCCGCAUGGUGGAACUAUUAAAGAAUUUCGGUCAUCGAUGGGAUGCGUUCCAUUAGGUUGUUGGCGGGGUAACGGCCCACCAAGCCUUCGAUGGAUAGGGGUUCUGAGAGGAAGGUCCCCCACAUUGGAACUGAGACACGGUCCAAACUCCUACGGGAGGCAGCAUG
rnacentral:rRNA from 1 species